rnacentral:rRNA from 1 species
CAGCAGUCGCCGCGGUAACACGUAGGUCCCGAGCGUUGUCCGGAUUUAUUGGGCGUAAAGCGAGCGCAGGCGGUUAGAUAAGUCUGAAGUUAAAGGCUGUGGCUUAACCAUAGUACGCUUUGGAAACUGUUUAACUUGAGUGCAAGAGGGGAGAGUGGAAUUCCAUGUGUAGCGGUGAAAUGCGUAGAUAUAUGGAGGAACACCGGUGGCGAAAGCGGCUCUCUGGCUUGUAACUGACGCUGAGGCUCGAAAGCGUGGGGAGCAAACAGGAUUAGAUACCCCCGUAGUCCCUGUCUCUUAUACC